CACACAUUCGAUCCAGAGUGCACUGUAUCAGACAGCAGCAAAGCUGUGGACAGACCAAAAACACUCACAGUGGACUGUCUGUUCCAUGAGGAUAAAGGACUACUGCACUGCAGGAAGAAUGAUGAAGCUCUAAGCAGGGUUGCAGGCUGGCUCAAACACGGGAAAGGACAACAGCCACCACCAACGAAAGUGCAACACGAAGGGGAAGCUGAACCCAGGAGUGGGACUUCUAAAGAAGGAGGGGCAGAGAGUCAGUCUGGAAAACAUGACAAAGAUGAAGCUCCACCUAGGGUCGAGCACACUGGAGGUGAAACUGUCACCCUGAACGAAGGCAAAGGCAAAGGCAAAGGCAAAGGCAAAGGCAAAGGCAAG